AUUGAACGCUAGCGGGAUGCUUUACACAUGCAAGUCGAACGGAGUGGCGGACGGGUGAGUAAUAUAUCGGAACGUGCCCAGUAGCGGGGGAUCACUACUCGAAAGCGUGGCUAAUAACGCAUACUAUACGAGCGGCCGAUAUCGGAUUAGCUAGUUGGUGGGGUAAAGGCUAACCAAGGCAACGAUCCGUAGCUGGUUUGAGAGGACGACCAGCCAAACUGGGACGGAGACAGGGCCCAGACUCCUACGGGAGGCAGCAGUGGGGAAUUUUGGACAAUGGGGGAAACCCUGAUCCAGACAUCCCGCGUGGAGGAUGAAGGCCUUCGGGUUGUAAAGUACUUUUGGCAGAAAAGCGGUAUCUGAAGAAUAAGCCCCGGCUAACUACGUGCCAGCAGCCGCGGUAAUUC
rnacentral:rRNA from 1 species